CCUACGGGAGGCAGCAGUGAGGAAUAUUGGACAAUGGGCGCAAGCCUGAUCCAGCCAUGCCGCGUGCAGGAAGACGGUCCUAUGGAUUGUAAACUGCUUUUAUACAGGAAGAAACACCUCUACGUGUAGAGACUUGACGGUACUGUAUGAAUAAGCAUCGGCUAACUCCGUGCCAGCAGCCGCGGUAAUACGGAGGAUGCAAGCGUUAUCCGGAAUCAUUGGGUUUAAAGGGUCCGUAGGCGGUUUAAUAAGUCAGUGGUGAAAGCCCAUCGCUCAACGAUGGAACGGCCAUUGAUACUGUUAAACUUGAAUUAUUAGGAAGUAACUAGAAUAUGUAGUGUAGCGGUGAAAUGCUUAGAGAUUACAUGGAAUACCAAUUGCGAAGGCAGGUUACUACUAAUAUAUUGACGCUGAUGGACGAAAGCGUGGGGAGCGAACAGGAUUAGAUACCCUGGUAGUCCACGCCGUAAACGAUGGAUACUAGCUGUUCGGAGCAAUCUGAGUGGCUAAGCGAAAGUGAUAAGUAUCCCACCUGGGGAGUACGUUCGCAAGAUGAAACUCAAAUGAAUUGACGG
rnacentral:rRNA from 1 species